ensembl:snoRNA
GGCCUCUUGAUGUUUACCAUAGGCUGUUUUCUUACACUGAUUGUAUAGAAAGGCAGAGUAUACCUACCAUGUACACUUCACUCCAGGCUGUGUGCAUUGUCUGUAUUGUGAAUGGGAAGACAUGA